UGAGCAAUCUGCCCUUCUCAUCGGAAUAAGCGUGGGAAACCGCGUCUAAUGCCGAAUACGACCUCCUUUCGCAUGAUCGGAGGUGAAAAGCUCCGGCGGAGAAGGAUGAGCUCGCGGCCUAUCAGCUAGUUGGUGUGGGUAAUGGCCUACCAAGGCGACGACGGGUAGCCGGCCUGAGAGGGUGUCCGGCCACACUGGGACUGAGAUACGGCCCAGACUCCGUACGGGAGCAG
rnacentral:rRNA from 1 species